rnacentral:rRNA from 1 species
UACGUAGGUGGCGAGCGUUGUCCGGAUUUACUGGGCGUAAAGAGCGCGCAGGCGGUCGUGUAAGUCGAAUGUGAAAGCCCCCGGCUCAACUGGGGAGGGUCAUUCGAUACUGCUCGACUCGAAGGCAGGAGAGGGAAGCGGAAUUCCCGGUGUAGUGGUGAAAUGCGUAGAUAUCGGGAGGAACACCAGUGGCGAAGGCGGGUCUCUGGGCAGUAACUGACGCUGAGGAGCGAAAGCGUGGGGAGCGAACAGG